GACAGAGGUCCGAGCGUUAGGCGGAAUCACUGGGCUUAAAGCGUGUGUAGGUGGAUUGCCUAAGUACCUUGUGAAAUCCCACGGCUUAACCGUGGAAUUGCUUGGUAUACUGGGUGUCUUGAGCCACUUAGGGGCGAACCGGGAACAAACGGUGGAGCGGUGAAAUGCGUAGAUAUCGUUUGGAACGCCAAUGGUGAAAACAGGUUGCUGGGAGUGUGCUGACGCUGAGACACGAAAGCCAGGGGAGGCAAAACGGG
rnacentral:rRNA from 1 species